UGGCGGACGGGUGAGUAACGCGUGGGUAACCUGCCUUGUACUGGGGGACAACAGUUAGAAAUGACUGCUAAUACCGCAUAAGCGCACAGUAUCGCAUGAUACGGUGUGAAAAACUCCGGUGGUACAAGAUGGACCCGCGCCUGAUUAGCUAGUUGGUAAGGUAACGGCUUACCAAGGCGACGAUCAGUAGCCGACCUGAGAGGGUGACCGGCCACAUUGGGACUGAGACACGGCCCAA
rnacentral:rRNA from 1 species